GCCUGAUGUUGCAGGUCGAUACUGCGCCUGACUUGUAAUCAGGAGAUCGCGCGUUCAAAUCGCGCCUGGGGCUCCA
rnacentral:tRNA from 1 species